UGGGGAAUUUUGCACAAUGGGGGAAAACCUGAUGCAGCGACGCCGCGUGAUUUAGAAGGCCUUCGGGUUGUAAAAAUCUUUUCUAUGGGAAGAAAAUGACAGUACCAUAGGAAUAAGGACCGGCUAAUUACGUGCCAGCAGCCGCGGUAAUACGUAAGGUCCGAGCGUUGUCCGGAAUCAUUGGGCGUAAAGGGUACGUAGGCGGGUAAGCAAGUUAGAAGUGAAAUCCUAUAGCUUAACUAUAGUAAGCUUUUAAAACUGCUCAUCUUGAGGUAUGGAAGGGAAAGUGGAAUUCCUAGUGUAGCGGUGAAAUGCGCAGAUAUUAGGAGGAAUACCGGUGGCGAAGGCGACUUUCUGGCCAUAACCUGACGCUGAGGUACGAAAGCGUGGGUAGCAAACAGG
rnacentral:rRNA from 1 species